rnacentral:misc_RNA from 1 species
GGGUGGGGGCGGGGGCGGGACAGAGCCCCGCGGCCCGGAGGGGCGCGGGGAGGCGCCCGGCGACCGCGCGACGGGCCCAGGGCGGCGGGACGACCGACGACGACCGGCCGAGGCAGACCGGCCCAGGGCCGGCGGCGCGGGAGGCGACGGGGCGGGGCGAGCGGCCCCGCGACGGGGAAGCCGCCGCCCGUCGCGCCGCACAGCCCGCGAGACGCGACCGGAGGACCCGCGCCGCGCGGGGUCCGCGGGCCG